rnacentral:tRNA from 1 species
GCGCACUUUGGCGAUGCUGUGGGUCCACCGCUCUUGUAAAGCGGGGGUCGUCGGUUCGAACCCGACAGGGGGCU